rnacentral:rRNA from 1 species
UACGUAGGUGGCAAGCGUUGUCCGGAUUUAUUGGGUUUAAAGGGUGCGUAGGCGGCCCUGUAAGUCAGUGGUGAAAUACGGCAGCUCAACUGUCGAGGUGCCAUUGAUACUGCGGGGCUUGAGUGUUGACGAGGCAGGCGGAAUUGACGGUGUAGCGGUGAAAUGCUUAGAUAUCGUCAAGAACACCGAUAGCGAAGGCAGCCUGCCAGGCAGCAACUGACGCUGAGGCACGAAAGUGCGGGGAUCAAACAGG